rnacentral:rRNA from 1 species
AGCUCCAAUAGCGUAUAUUAAAGUUGUUGUGGUUAAGAAGCUCGUAGUUGGAUUUCUGCUAAGAAUGACCGGUCCGCCCGCUGGGUGAGCAUCUGGCUUGGCCUUGGCAUAUGCUUGGGUAGCACUUCCGCACUUGAUUGUGUGGUGUGGUGUCCAAGGUGUUUACUUUGAGGAAAUCAGAGUGCUUGUAGCAGGUUAUUGCCAUGAAUACACUAGCAUGGAAUAAUAAGAUAAGCUUUGGUUUUUUGUUGGUUUUAAAAUUGAAGUGAUGAUUAACAGGGGCAGUUGGGGGCAGUUGUAUUUAAUUGUCAGAGGUGAAAUUCUUGGAUUUGUUAAAGACAAACUAUUGCGAAAGCAUUUGCCAAGGAUGUUUUCU